rnacentral:rRNA from 1 species
GUGUCAGCAGCCGCGGUAAGACGAACCGUGCGAACGUUGUUCGGAAUCACUGGGCUUAAAGGGCGCGUAGGCGGCUUGCCAAGUCAGGGGUGAAAUCCUGCAGCUUAACUGUAGAAGGGCCUUUGAUACUGGCGAGCUCGAGGGAGGUAGGGGUAUGUGGAACUUCCGGUGGAGCGGUGAAAUGCGUUGAUAUCGGAAGGAACGCCGGUGGCGAAAGCGACGUACUGGACCUCUUCUGACGCUGAGGCGCGAAAGCUAGGGGAGCAAACGGGAUUAGAUACCCCGGUAGUCC